ACGUUGGGAGGCCAAGGCGGGCAGAUCACAAGGUCAGGAGUUCAAGACCAGCCUGGCCAAGAUGGGGAAAUCCUGUCUCUACUAAAAAUACAAAAAUUAGCCAGGUGUGGUGGCGUGCAUCUGUAGUCCCAGCUACUCGGGAGGCUGAGGCACGGAAUUCCUUGAACCCGGGAGGCAGAGGCUGCAAUGAGCCGAGAGUUCACCACUACACUCCAGCCUGGGCAACAGAGUGAGACUCCAUCUCAAAAAAAUAAAAACAUAUAAAUAAAUAAAGAACUUAGCUGGGCACGGUGGCCUGCACCUGUAGUCCCAGCCAUGGUGACAGGAUCACUUGAGUCCAGGAGUGUGAGGCUGCAGCGAGCUACGAUCGCACCACCACACUCCAGCCUGGGCAACAGAGCAAGACCCUGUCUCUAAAAACAAAAGAAAUUUGAGUCAACUUUUUUUGCUCCGGGCUCGGCCGACUCAUACAGGGCACUUCCUUAACACCCUGUGAAAUGUGGCUAGUCUCAUUGUGCACAGCCCGGGAGAGUGAAGGUCACGAAGCGGGUCUGAUCUGGGAUUUGAAGCCAGGUCCGCCUCACCCCCAGCUUAUCCUGCCUCGCCCAGGGUCUUGGCUUCUGGGGACCCGCAAGCAGCCACAGGAGCACACAGGGGCAGGAAAGGUGUGCAGAAACCACAUGCCCGUGGUCCACCUGCAAACCCUGCGGCUCUCACGUGGGGGUGCCCCGAGGGCUGAUGACUGAUGACUCAGGGUCCAGGCUCUCCUGUCCUCAACCUUGGUCCCUAGGCUGAUUAGAUAGAGGGCCCUGCCCGGGCGAAGGGGAGCCCCGCCCCAGCUGAUACGGGAGCAGCCACGGUCCAGGCGAGUGGCAGGAAGACCCAGCUUCAUCGCAGGGGUGUUUGUGGAGCACCUGCUGCGCCGCUGGCACUUCCUCUCUUCCAGAGGCCUGCGGAUGACUGCUGAGGCCACUCAGCAGGACAGAGCUUACACAUCCCAGCCCCAGGACGGCCACAGGUCUGCUUGAGCCAGCCAGGCAGGCAUCUAUUAAACUCCUACUGUGUACCCCAUCUUCUGCAAGGCUUGGAAGGGAAGGAGGCCUCGGUGCUGUCUGGGAGCUCCUGGUCAGGACCAUGCCCCAGAGACAGGCAGACCCAGCAGCCAAGUUUGCUGACAGCUCGGCUGAGGCUGAGCCGGGCAGUCUCUGAAGAGUGUGAAAGUCGCCAGCGUCCAACCCCCGGAACCUGCCGGCUGGGAAGGAGAAAGCCAUCCGCUGCGACCAGGCAGCUCGGGGCUGGCAGAAAGGGCAUGUUCUGUCCGCAUGACCGCCAAAGUGUCCAGAACCCGGGUCCAGGAUUCAAGUUCACAUCAGAUUCCAGAAGGAGCUUCGGGACGGGGCGUCCUUGAAGGCAACGGAGGGACGGUGGGGCUCCGGGGGAGGCGGGGGUUCGGAGGGGGCCCCCUCGCCACCCCUGACAGUGUCCUCCUCCCCCUGCCAGGCCAGGGCCAGCUGCAGGUCCAGCCCCUCCAAGUCCUCGCCGGUCAGGCUGGGGCGCAGCUCCCGGGGGGCAGCCUCCUGGUCGGGCUUCGGGCCGAAUGCCCAGUCUGAGGCAAGGGAGCUGGUGAGGCAACUCCACCCUUCUCUGUCCCCUCCCCGGCUAAGAGAAGCCCUUGGAUCCCCGACCACCCACCCGGGGUGGCCCAGCAUCCGCCAGGCCAGGUUUCGGUGGGGGCAGCUCACCGGCCAGGUCGUGGGCGAGGUCUUUGAUGAGGUGCCCGACGAUGGCGUAGGCGACGGCCAGCACGAUCAGCGCGGCCAGCAGCAGGUACAGCACGUACCUGGGCAGGCGGAUGGUGUCCAGGGGCGGCGGCCGGUACUCCUCGUACAGCGGAGGGGACGGGCUCCAGCCCUCGGCCUCCUCCCCGGCCGCCAGCCCUGGCAUGGUGUCCGCCCGGCACCGGGGAGGCCCGGAGGUGACCCACACAGCGGAAGUAUUAAGGGGCUUUGAGCUAAGAGGAUUGGGCGGCCGCCCCACGGCCACCAUCUGCCUGGGUUAACCACACUGCCAAUCACUUCCGCCCACCGGCAGCCUACCUGCUCAGCUCCAGCCAGGACUCUGCCACCUGGAAUGCCCUGCCCAGAUUUCCUCACGGCCGGUUCGCUCUCUUCAUUCAUCUUUUUUCUUAUUCUUCUUUUUAUUGUUAUUUUUUGAGAUGGAGUCUUGCUCUGUCGUCCAGGCUGGAGUGCAAUGGCGCAGUCUCGGCUCACUGCAACCUCUGCCUCCCUGGUUCAAGUGAUUCUCGUGCUUCAGCCUGCUGAGUAGCUGGGACUACAGGCAUGUGCCACCACACCCGGCUAAUAUUUGUAUUUUUAGUAGAGCCAGGGUUUCAGUAUGUUGGCCAGGCUGGUCUCGAACUCCUGACCCCAUAAUCUGCCCGCCUAGGCCUCCCAAAGUGCUAGAAUUACAUGCAUGAGCCACUGUGCCAAGACUUUAUUACUUUAUUAUUUAUUUUAAUUUUUUUAGAUGGAUUUUCACUCUUGUCACCCAGGCUAGAGUGCAAUAGCAAGAUCUUAGCUCAUUGCAACCUCCACCUCCCAGGUUCAAAUGAUUCUCUUGCCUCAGCCUCCUGAGUAGCUGGGAUUACAGAUGCCUGCCACCAUGCCUGGCUAAUAUUAUUCUUUGUGACAGAGUCUGUCUCCCUGAGUGCUAGAGUGCAGUGGUAAGAUCAUAGCUCACUGCACCCUCAACCUCCCGGGCUCAAGCAAUCCUCCCGCCCCAGCCUCUGGAGCAGCAAAGAUUACAGGUCCUCCCCACCGUGCUUGGCUCUUCAUCCAUUCAUGGAAUAUGUAUUGAGCAGUGACUGUAGCUGGACACUCUCUCAGGUGCUGGGACACAGCUAUGAAUAAGAAAGACCAGGCCGGGCACUGUGGCUCAUGCCUAUAAUCCCAGCACUUUGGGAGGCCGAGGAGGGCGGAUCACCUGAGGUCAGGAGUUCGAGACCAGUCUGGCCAACAUGGUGAAACCCCUUCUCUACUAAAAAUACAAAAAGUAGCCAGAUGUGGUGGCGGGCACCUGUAAUCUCAGCUACUUGGAAAGCUGAGGCAGGAAGGAGAAUCACUUGAACCCAAGAGGCAAAGGUUGCAGUGAGCCGAGAUCACACAAUUGCGCUCCAGCCUCAGCAACAGAGCAGGACUCCAUCUCAAAAAAAAAAAAAAAAUAGGGUUGCCAAGGCAUCACUGAGGAGGUGACAUUUGAACAAAGACCUGGAAGAAGGGAACCAGCCAUGGAAGAGCCAGAGGAAAGAAAGUUCCAAGCAGAGGGCAUAGCCUGUGCCAAGGCCCUGGGGCAGGACUACGCCUGGCAUGGUGGCGGAACAGUGAGGUCCUGCAGGGCCAUGUAGACCGUGAGGAAGACUUGGGCUUAGACCCUAAGGGAGGUGGGAGCCAUGGAGGGUUGUGGGCAGAGGAGGGACAGGUCCUGACCUAGGUGCUCACAGGUGGCCCCUGGUAGCUGCUUUGCGGGGACAGACUGGAAUGAGGUGGAGGGCACUGAGCUGGUCCCAGUGGGAGAAAAGCGGGCAGAUUUGGGAUUUACUUUUAUUUCUAUUUAUUUAUUUUGAGAUGGAGUCUCACUCUGUUGCCCAGGCUGGGGUGCAGUGGCAUAAUCUCGGCUCACUGCAAUCUCCGCCUCCCAGGUUCAAGCGAUUCUCCAGACUCAGCCUCCCAAGUAGCUGGGACUACAGGCGUGUGCCACCGCAUCUGGCUAAUUUUUUUUGUAUGUUUAGUAGAGACGGGGUUUCACCAUGUUGGCCAGGCUGGUCUUGAUCUCCUGACCUCAGAUGAUCCACCCGCCUCCGCCUCCCGACCUCCUGACUCCAGGUGAUCUGCCCCUGUCAGCCUCCCAAAGUGCUGGGAUUACCGGCGUGAGCCACCGCACCCAGCCAUUCUUUUUAUUUUUUUGAGACAGGGUCUUGUUCUGUCACCCAGGCUGGAGUGCAGUGGUGGGAUCUUGGCUCACUGCAUCCUUGACUGCCCAGGCUCAGCCAUCCUCCUGCCUCAGCCUCCCAAGUAGCUGGGGCUACAGCUCCGUGCCACCAUACCUACCUAAUUUUCUGAGUGUAUUUUUACAGAAACAGGGUCUCACUCGGUUUCCCAGGCUGCUCUUUUUUAAGUCCUGGGCUCCAGCGAUCCUCCUGCCUCAGCCUCACGAAGUGCUGGGAUUACAGGCAUGUGUGCCACCACACCUGGCCUUGGGAUAGAUUUUUCUUUUCUUUUCUUUCUUUUUUUUUUUUUUUGAGGUGGAGUCUCACUCUGUCACCCACCCAGGCUGGAGUGCAGUGGCACAAUCUGGGCUCACUGCAACCUUCGCCUUCCCAGUUCAAGCGAUUCUCCUGCCUCAGCCUCCUGAGUAGCUGGGACUACAGGAGCACGCCACCACGUCCAGCUAAUUUUUGCACUUUUAAUAGAGACAGGGUUUCACCACGUUGGUCAGGCUGGUCUCCUGACCUCGUGAUCCACCUGCCUCGGCUUCUCAAAGUGCUGGAUUACAGGGGUGUGUGCUACUGCACCUGGCCUUGGGAUAGAUUUUUCCUUUUUUUUCUUUUUGAGAUGGAGUUUCACUCUUGUUGCCCAGGCUGCAGUGCAAUGGCACAAUCUCGGCUCAUCACAACCUCUACCUCCCAUGUUCAAGCGAUUCUCCUGCCUCAGCCUACCGAGUAGCUGGGAUUACAGGCACGCACCACCAUGCCCAGCUAAUUUUGUAUUUUUUUAGUAGAGAAGGGGUUUCUCCAUGUUGGUUAGGCUGGUCGAACUUCCGACCUCAGGUGAUCCGCCCGCCUUGGCCUCCCACGGUGCUGGGAUUACAGGCGUGAGCCACCAUGCCUGGCUGGGAUAGAUUUUUCAUUGACCAAACCUGUGUUUUUAGACUGCCUGGGAUGGCGGUGUCCCCAUUUGCUGAGUUAGGAAUACCGCAGAGGAGAAACCCAGAGAGAAACACAAGAAAUUCCAAGCAGCCGGGGCCCGGGGAGCCAGGACAAGGCAGUAUCAGGUGGUGGUGAGGGAGACGGGUUCAAAUCCCAGCUCUGCCCGUCACAGCACAACCUCUGCUCUCCGGGGUUCUCUGAGCUUCUUUCUACAACAGGGUUGGUAAAAUUUCCUGGGGUGUUGGGAGGAGGAAAUGCAAUGAUGUGUAUAAGUGUGAGACUUGGCUGGGCUCAGUGGCUCACGCCUGUAAUCCCAACACUUUGGGAGGCCAGGGCAGGUGGAUCACGAGGUUAGGAGUUCGAGACCAGCCUGGCCACAAUGGUAAAACCCCGUCUCUACUAAAAUACAAAAAUUAGCCAGGCACUGGGGUGGGUGCCUGUAAUACCAGCUACUCAUGAGGCUGAGGCAGGAGAAUCGCUUGAACCUGAGAGGCAGGGAUUGCAGUGAGCGGAGAUCGAGCCACUGCAUUCCAGCCUGGAUGACAGAGUAAGACUGUAUCAACAAUAGCAGCCAAAAUAAAAGCGUGAGCCUGGCGGGGCGCGGUGGCUCAUGCCUACAAUCCCAGCACUUUGGGAGGCCGAGGCCAGGUGGAUCACGAGGUCAAGAGAUCGAGACCAUCCUGGUCAACAAGGUGAAACCCCGUCUCUACUAAAAAUACAAAAAAUUAGCUGGGCACGGUGGCACGUGCCUGUAAUCCCAGCUACUCGGGAGGCUGAGGCAGGAGAAUUGUUUGAAUCCAGGAGGCGGAGGUUGCGGUGAGCAGAGAUCGCGCCAUUGCACUCCAGCCUGGGUGACAGAGCCAGAUCUUGUCUCUAUAAAGAAGGGGGUGCCGGCUGGGCGCGGUGACUCACGCCUGUAAUCCCAGCACUUUGGGAGGCCAAGGUGGGUGGAUCACCUGAGGUCAGGAGUUCAAGAUCAGCCUGGCCAUCAUGGUGACACCCAUGUUUAAAAGCAAAAAAAAGAAGAAGAAGAAGAAGCCGGGGUGCCCUUGUAUAUUUGAGUUUUGUUUUUUGUCACAAUAAAGUUGAUUAUGAAAACAGGCUGGUGUGGGUUCAUGGGGACAGACAAGCACAUUUAGGUCGGGGGGCUCAGGUCCUCCACGGUUAAGAGUGUGCUUGCGGUCCCUGCUCUUGCUCCCGGAGCUGCAGGAGCCUGUGCCCUUCAUUUUGCAGUGCUGUGGGGCAUCACUGGCAAUAUGUGAGAUGAGUUUCCGGGCAGCUAGGGAGAUGAACCGAACUCCGCGUCGCUGUGAGUAACCAGGUCCAGGUGCUCACCAGCCACUGCAUCUGGGCUCGUAGGUGUGUCAUCCUCCAGCUGCAUCAAGAAGUCCGGCAGACUUGAACUCCUGACCUCGGGUGAUCCACCCGCCUUGGCCUCCCAAAGCGCUGGGAUUACAGGCGUGGGCCACCAGGUCUGUCCGGGUAUCAUUUAUUUACACACUUAGCAGCGUAUUCACUCAUUAAUGCGUCAAUUCCAACCUUAUACCAUGUUUAAAUAAUCAUUCAUUUAUCUACCGUUCAUUCAGACAUCCACGCAUCCAUUCAUACACAGGUUUAUGCUGUUUACUUGACAGAAGAUUAUGAGGAAGCAAGGAAGGGCUGUGUCUCGGUCACCCCGUCAUCGUCUGCCCCAAUGCCAUGUGUAUUGGCUGACACGUGACAGGCCCUGAAACAUUUU